rnacentral:rRNA from 1 species
AUGCAUACUGUUGUGAUCCGUAGCUUACGCCUUGCCUGCAGGUGUCGUGCUGGCGACCGGGUUCGGAGCGCUCAUAUCGAAGGUGGCCGAGCACUGGUACGAGCUCUACAAGAUGGACAAGCAGGGGGCCAACCUCUGGUUCAUCUACUGGUGGGAGGACAAGGUCUCAGGUGUGUUGCUUUCUUCUGGCUCUGA